rnacentral:rRNA from 1 species
UACAGAGGUCUCAAGCGUUGUUCGGAUUUACUGGGCGUAAAGGGCGCGUAGGCGGUCAGCACAAGUCAGUUGUGAAAUCUCCGGGCUUAACUCGGAAAGGUCAACUGAUACUGUGCGACUAGAGUGCAGAAGGGGCAACUGGAAUUCUCGGUGUAGCGGUGAAAUGCGUAGAUAUCGAGAGGAACACCUGCGGCGAAGGCGGGUUGCUGGGCUGACACUGACGCUGGAGGCGCGAAAGCUAGGGGAGCGAACGGG